AGGGCUUUUUUACCAUCAUGAACAAAACGUUUGUCAAGUAUUUGCACAUUACCAAAUUGACAAAAACAUCAAAUUCCAUACUUAUAGAAUCUGGACUCUGGCCAUGGAUUUGGGGUUUUUGGUCUUUAUCAUGGCUUCAUAGUGUGGGGAAGAAGAGGAAAAUCUGCCUGAUCCAUCCUAAGAAAGCAACACAAAAGCUUCACAGCACCAGGAAUAAUAAGACCAUUUUGUCAGGAUCACUUUGAAUUAUCCUCCACACUGCUUGCAAUGCCUCCCAGUGACACUUCAAGAAGAUGGUAGCAACCGCCUGUUGUCAGUUACUGUGACUUUAUCUAGAUUCAGAAGCUCAGGGAAAAGUGGAGCUCAUCAGCAGGAAGAGAAAGAAGUGGAAUGUUAAGUUAUUGAGAAGUAUAUGCCAUUCAAGAUCAGAAAAGUUUGUUUUUAUCAUAUACCAUACAUAGUCUCAUCACCUGAGACACUGGAGAGAAUGCAAUUUGUCAAGGAAUUCAUGAUUAUAAGCAAUAUUUCCAUUUUCACAAGAUUUUUUGAUGAGUGAAUUUUGAAAUCAUAUUUAUAUAAAUGAACA